rnacentral:RNase_P_RNA from 1 species
CCAGACGGCUGGACGGUCGCCCUCAACUUCGGUUGGGGGAGGAAAGUCCGGGCUCCAUGAAAAGACGGUGCCGGGUAACGCCCGGCGGGGGCGACCCCAGGGAAAGUGCCACAGAAAGCAAACCGCCCAUCUUCCAAGCCAGUCUUGAAAGAUGGGUAAGGGUGAAAGGGUGCGGUAAGAGCGCACCGCGCGGCUGGUAACAGUCGUGGCAAGGUAAACCCCACCGGGAGCAAAACCGAAUAGGGACGGCGUGUCGGCUACGGCUUAAGUUUCGGCUUCAGCUGUAAUACGACAGGCGAUUUUACGCUGCCGUCCGGGUAGGUUGCACGAGGCGUCCGGCAACGGACGUCCUAGAUGAAUGAUCGUCUAUCGCUGCUAAAUAUGGGCCGCGGCGUGGACAAAACCCGGCUUACAGGCCGUCUGGUGCC